GAGAUCUGGUGGCAUCUGACUGUAUCUCGAUGACAGCCAUGAGAACAGAUGUCUGAGG
rnacentral:misc_RNA from 1 species